AAAAUAACAAAACAAAAAGAGAAAAAAAAGAGAGAAAAAAAAUGGCAUAAAUAUUAAACAAAAUAUAUAAAACACAAUAUAUACGUAUGUAUAUAUACAAACGUGUAUACAAAUAUAUUUUCGGUAGACUCCAUUAAAGUGCUAAUGCCCUUUCUCUUAUUAAAAAAAAAAAAAAACAGAAAAACGUAAAGAAAUAUUAACAGAAAAAAAAGAAACACAGAAAAUAUAAAUAAUAAGAAAAGUUUAUAUACAAAAACCUGAAAAGAGAAAAUAUUGUGGUGUGUACGUAAGUAAGUUCGAUGUUCGUGUUUUGUUCUUAAUUUUGGUGUAAUUUUGCUUUUUUUUUGAAACCAAUAUGGAGUCACCAUCAACGACAACACCAUAGAGAUAAAAUUUAAAAAAACAGAAAGCAAAAAACGAUAACAAGAAGAAAAAUAAUUUAUGAAAAACAUUUAUAAAAUAAAAUGAUGAAAAUAAUAUUGAAAUUUUUAUAUUAAAACAGAAAAAUAUAAACUAUAAAAAAAAAAUAACAAUAAAAACAAGAAAAUAAAAAAUUGAGUUAUAUCUCAAGGAAAAUUUUCUUAAGAAUUUUUUCUCUUUCUUUUUUUUACACACUACUACUACUACAAUAAUAAAACAAAAUAAAAAUAAUAAUAAUAAAAAAAGUAUAUUAAAUCUAUUAUACUAGUAUUUACUCUAUUAUUAUACACUAAAAUUAAAAUAUUCAUAAAUUUCGAAUAGUAUAUAAUAUUAUAAUAAAUAUACAAGUAUGUAACUAUGUACGUAAACGUACAAAAUAAUAAAAAACAAAAAGAAACACAACAACCACCUUUAAUUGAAGUUUUUCUUUUUUCAUUAUUAUUUACGAGUAUAAAAUUUGAGUGAAAAUAUAUUUGUAUUUCUUUUUUUAAUU